CGAAGGUGGCAAGCGUUGUUCGGAUUUACUGGGCGUACAGGGAGCGUAGGCGGUUGGAUAAGCCCUCCGUGAAAUCUCCAGGCUUAACCUGGAAAGUGCAGAGGGGACUGUUCAGCUAGAGGAUGGGAGAGGAGCGCGGAAUUCCCGGUGUAGCGGUGAAAUGCGUAGAGAUCGGGAGGAAGGCCGGUGGCGAAGGCGGCGCUCUGGAACAUUUCUGACGCUGAGGCUCGAAAGCGUGGGGAGCAAACAGGAUUAGAUACCCUGGUAGUCCACGCCUUAAACGAUGGAUACUAAGUGUCGGCGGGUUACCGCCGGUGCCGCAGCUAACGCAGUAAGUAUCCCGCCUGGGGAGUACGGCCGCAAGGUUG
rnacentral:rRNA from 1 species